rnacentral:rRNA from 1 species
AAGACUGAGACUCAAAGGAAUUGACGGGGGCCCGCACAAACGGUGGAGUAUGUGGUUUAAUUCGAUGCAACGCGAAGAACCUUACCUGGCCUUGACAUGUCAGAACUUUCCAGAGAUGGAUUGGUGCCUUCGGGAACUCGAACACAGGUGCUGCAUGGCUGUCGUCAGCUCGUGACGUGAGAUGUUGGGUUAAGUCCCGCAACGAGCGCAACCCUUGUCCUUAGUUGCCAGCACGUAAUGGUGGGAACUCUAAGGGAGACCGCCGGGUGACAAACCGGAGAAGGUGGGGAUGACGGUCAAGUCAUCAUGGCCCCUUACGGCCAGGGGCUACACACGUACUACAAUGGU